rnacentral:tRNA from 1 species
GCAUAAAAGUGUAGAGAGCACGAAAAGCUUUGAUCUUUUAGGAAUUGGUGUGACUCCAAUAUAUGUAUU